rnacentral:piRNA from 1 species
UGGGAAAGUGAGUCUCAGAGUCUUUUAGG